ACUAUCUUAAGUCAAUUAAAAAAAGAGAAAACCAAAAUAAAAUGAAAUCAGGUCCCAAUUCCAUGCAAACCUCGGAUAGCUGCUCUGUUUCUUUGUCAAGCCGUCAUCUCGAUCACAGCUAGCCUCGAUCAAACCCCUCGUCUCGUCGCUAAAUCAAAACUGAAACGAGUUCGUUCCUUCAAUCCCGUUUUCCCUCCGCUUCGUCUUUCACACGUUCGUGAGCUUCCGUCCUCUUCUUCCUUGUUCUUCGCAAACAAAAUCUGCACUCCAGCUCUAGCUACCUCGCAAACUUUUUUUCCUUCCACGCGAAUCCCUUCCGCCUCUUUACACAAGCAAGCAGCCGCGAUCCCUCUCUCGUCUGUCCUGACUGGUCUUCCUCACGACCCUCACUCCGUUCCCAAGCUUAAGCUCCCGUCUGUCAAAACCCGCCUGCCCUAAUAUUGCCAACCACACGAAUCAAGCUGCAACCGACCUCUUCUUUCUUGCCCUACCAUCACUCAUUCCAUCUGCCUCCUAGCUACUGAAACCAGACCCGACGCUCCAGGCCGAACCAGUCCCCAGCCGCCGUGCCUUCAUGUGCCGAAACCGACCACCUGCUUUCACGUGGAUCUCCUCCCUUCCGCUCCAGCCAGAUACUCGCGUUUUCGGAGUAGACCUCAUGCGAAUAUUCAGCAACUAUGUUUGUGUACAAGCGAGAGAUGUUUGAGCUCGUACAUGGUGUUGAGCAAGCUUUUUUUUUUGGUAUUAAGUUUAAGAUGAGGACAUCCGUAAGAGAUUUCGACAUACGUACCAUCGGAGGGGUCGUCGAGUGACGGCCAUGAUUCAGCAGCUUUAUUAUUGAUGCUUUAUUUUAUUCAUGUCAUUUAUAUUUCAUGAUUUUUCAUUUGUACCCCUAUGAGGGAAUUAGUGCUUGUUGUAGCCCAAGGGCAAUGUCGUCUUUAUGUUUUCUUUAUUUUCGGAAAGCCUAUAUAAAGGCUUGGUCAUUGUAUUUUAUGGAUGAUUGAUGAAUGAAAAUUUUCUACUAUUAUGUUCUCUUUGUGAGUU